AUUCUCACACAGGGCCCUGGAUCAUAUGGAAUCCCGAGCAGAUGGCCACAUUCACUGGGACUGUGGGUCAAACAUAUGCUCUCCAGGCUCUUGUGUAGAAUGGAAUCCGUGAGCGCCGGAAAGAGCUGGGGGUGGGGAGCUCAACCUAGCUACUGUAAGACCACGGGACAGAGAAAGAAACACUUGCAAGUUGUUAGGAUCAAGCAUUCUCAUGCAAAAGAAUCAGCUGACUGAUAGUUUCACAUUUGCAAUGCUGUGACUGUAAGGGCUUUUUGCAUAAAUUAUCUAGUAGUAGUGUUUGGAUUCAAACAGGUACUUCAAAACUUUUUUUAAGAUUUUAUUUUUUUUUUAAUUAGGAUUAUAAUAUUUGUGUACUAGAAAUUAAAUACGAGGACACAAAACUCUAAAAAGCAUUAAAACCGCACAUUAAAGCAAGAUGUUAAAAAGCUAUAUUAAAUCAGCUAUACUAUAAAACGAUGGAACCAAAAGACUGAUGUUCUCAGGACAAAGAUUGGGGCGUAUACAACCAAACAACCACCAGAGUGAAGGGAGAGGCGCUGGAGUUAGGGGAAAUCAGGCCACAAAUGGAGGCAGCAAAAGGGUGGAGAGCAAAGGGAGACUGCUGCUGUUUUCAGAGCCUCUCUGGACUGAAUGGCACUCUUUGUGAUCCUGUCACAGCUCCACAUCCCACAUGUGUUUCAGAAGCAACAGUCCUCUCCCACUGCUGACGAAAGCACUUUAGGAGAGCGACAGAGCAGCCGUCAGAGGACAGGUCUCCAAACCCCUACGUGUUUUUAAAGCAGCCC
ensembl:lncRNA